UACCGCCCUUCCCGCCCUUCCCGCCGCCUCUUCCUGCCCCGCAGCGCCCGCCCCCGCGGGAAGCGCGGCCCCUCGGGCUUUGGGAGAUCUGUGUCCAAGUCGGCAAGUUUUAGUCAGUCGUUAAGCGGUAGCGGUAGCUGGACCAGCCAACCUGCUUCGUGUCCGGUGCUUUGAUGACCGAAGUGAUCACCGUGCCCGAUGGCUGGGACACCACCUGUGAGCUGCUGGGCGAGAACGUCACCACGGGGGUGGUGGCACUGAAGGAUGGAGAUGAAGCCAUGUUGACUGUUCCAUUGCAAAUUGUCUGCACGCUGCUGGUGAGCACCUGCUGAACUUGUGCUGGGCUCAGCACAAUCGAGGGAGGAGGCGAGACUGGCUUCUGAGACUGCAGCAUGAUGUUUUCUUUAAGAACCGUCAUGGGCUGGGAAGUAGGAAUGGCUUGCAAAAUGAAUUUCUGUGCUGUUGUUACUGAGGCUGGAUCUGUGCUGGCUAUCACUGUAGUAAGAGGCACUGUCUGGAGUGUUACAGUAUGCAGCUGCUGAUUUCCAGGAGAAACAACCACUGGAACCUGGGUUGGAGUCUGCAAAGUCCUGCUAAGAUUAGAGAAGAUUAUUGUGUCAGAACACUUCUAUGCUGAAUUUUGAAAAAGUAAUUAUAGAUUUACUACAGAAAAGACAAAACCAAAAAAACCAUUUGGCAUCAUAAACAUUAAAUUUACCCAACAUUUCCAAAAGAGGUAGUAGAGUCUCUCCUAAAUAAACAAGAACUAGACCUGACCCCUGAAUUCAGCAACAUGAUUCCCAAAGUAAAGGUACACCAAGCUGAACAGCCUGCCUUUGAGACAUUCAGUGGUUCAUCAGGAAACUUAGAAUCACAUCCAAGACCAACAUCAAAAGCACAACCCACUAGAGAUUUGACAUCAGUUUCAAAAAUUACACCAAGUAAUUAAUAAAUCACAAGCCUAAGCCAGGCCUUGAUUGUCCUGACAUCCACGUAUACAUUUAACUGUAUUCAAAAGUAUCCACAUGGUAGCAGUGUCUAGGCACAACCUUGCCACACUUCCAGGACGCAGAGUCCUCUGUCUGCCAGGCUCACACACACCCUCUGGUAGAACAACUGAUCAGAAUCUGCUUCCAAAUCUUCAUUUUAAGUUAGGAGUGAUUCCAUCUUUUACAGGCUAACAGACUUGGAUACUGUGUGACUGUCAAUAGAUGUAGAGCUCUGGGGACAACAUUAGAGGAUUAAGAGCUGUAUUGCUGGAGUACACAGCUACUGCAGUGCACAGUGAUUACUUAAACGUGACACUCCAGUCACACAAACUAAAACCACCAGAAAACAUAAAUGGUUACCAGGGGAGGGAGAGAGGAAGGGUAACUGCUCUGAGACUCUGACACAGUUUGUUCCAUGCCACCAUGCCAUGCUGUCUCUGGCAAUCUUUCUUUUCUUCUGUUUGUCAUGCAGAGUUCUCUCCAAUCUUCUCUUCCAUGUUUAGUCCUGCCUGCCCUCUUCCCCUUUAAGCUCUCCCUUGUGUUUUCUCAAAAAUAAAAAAAAAUUACUAUCUCCA